CGUAAUCGGCUAGGAUCAUGGACUCAAAAUCUAAUAACAACAACCACACUGACUAAGUCGAGCCAUCGAGUUAAAAGCUUAAGAUCGAACAGCUGAAAUCAAUUCAAAAGAAAAGAUCGUUUCGAUCACUAGCCAGAUAUCUGAAAUAGCCAUGUACAUGCCGAGAAGUCGGAAAAUUCACUCUGGCGACGAGUUUUUCACCUUAGCAACGACAACAAGGAAUUCAAACAGAAAGACGACACCUUUU
rnacentral:lncRNA from 1 species